rfam:Gossypium raimondii chromosome 3, whole genome shotgun sequence.
GUUACGGGAUAGGGGUGUUACACACAAUAACUCUUUGAAUCGCUCUCAUGCCUCAUAUAAAGAUUCUACAUCAAAUUGUUGAAAUGAAGAGAUUUCAUUCUGGAGCUU